GACGAACGCUGGCGGCGUGCCUAAUACAUGCAAGUCGAGCGGACUGAUUAAGAGCUUGCUCUUAUGACGUUAGCGGCGGACGGGUGAGUAACACGUGGGCAACCUGCCCUGUAGAUCGGGAUAACACCGAGAAAUCGGUGCUAAUACCGGGUAAUAUCUGAGAUCACAUGAUCUUAGGUUAAAAGAUGGCUCCGGCUAUCACUACAGGAUGGGCCCGCGGCGCAUUAGCUAGUUGGUAAGGUAAUGGCUUACCAAGGCGACGAUGCGUAGCCGACCUGAGAGGGUGAUCGGCCACACUGGGACUGAGACACGGCCCAGACUCCUACGGGAGGCAGCAGUAGGGAAUCUUCCGAAAUGGACGAAAGUCUGACGGAGCAACGCCGCGUGAGUGAUGAAGGGGUUCGGCUCGUAAAGCUCUGUUGUUAGGGAAGAAACAGUACCGAACGAACUAGGUCGGUACCUUGACGGUACCUAACCAGAAAGCCACGGCUAACCACGUG
rnacentral:rRNA from 1 species